UACGAAGGGGGCUAGCGUUGUUCGGAAUUACUGGGCGUAAAGCGCACGUAGGCGGAUUGUUAAGUUAGGGGUGAAAUCCCGGGGCUCAACCCCGGAACUGCCUUUAAUACUGGCAAUCUCGAGUCCGAGAGAGGUGAGUGGAAUUCCGAGUGUAGAGGUGAAAUUCGUAGAUAUUCGGAGGAACACCAGUGGCGAAGGCGGCUCACUGGCUCGGUACUGACGCUGAGG
rnacentral:rRNA from 1 species